rnacentral:rRNA from 1 species
AUUGAACGCUGGCGGCAGGCUCAACACAUGCAAGUCGAGCGGAGCGAGGGUGCUUGCACCUUAGCUUAGCGGCGGACGGGUGAGUAAUGCUUAGGAAUCUGCCUAUUAGUGGGGGACAACAUUCCGAAAGGGAUGCUAAUACCGCAUACGCCCUACGGGGGAAAGCAGGGGAUCUUCGGACCUUGCGCUAAUAGAUGAGCCUAAGUCGGAUUAGCUAGUUGGUGGGGUAAAGGCCGACCAAGGCGACGAUCUGUAGCGGGUCUGAGAGGAUGAUCGGCCACACUGGGACUGAGACACGGCCCAGACUCCUACGGGAGGCAGCAGUGGGGAAUAUUGGACAAUGGGCGGAAGCCUGAUCCAGCAAUGCCGCGUGUGUGAAGAAGGCCUUUUGGUUGUAAAGCACUUUAAGCGAGGAGGAGGCUACUAGUAUUAAUACUACUGGAUAGUGGACGUUACUCGCAGAAUAAGCACCGGCUAACUAUGUGCCAGCAGCCGCGGUAAUAC